UACGAAGGGUGCAAGCGUUAAUCGGAAUUACUGGGCGUAAAGGGUGCGUAGGCGGUUGUUUAAGUCUGUCGUGAAAUCCCCGGGCUCAACCUGGGAAUGGCGAUGGAAACUGGGCAGCUAGAGUGUGUCAGAGGAUGGUGGAAUUCCCGGUGUAGCGGUGAAAUGCAUUGAGAUCGGAAAGAACACCAACGGCGAAAGCACUCUGCUGGGCCGACACUGACACUGAGAGACGAAAGCUAGGGGAGCAAAUGGG
rnacentral:rRNA from 1 species